AACGAACGCUGGCGGCAUGCCUAACACAUGCAAGUCGAACGCGUGUAGCAAUACACGAGUGGCGGACGGGUGAGUAACGCGUGGGAACCUGCCCAGUGGUAGGGAAUAACUGCGGGAAACUGCAGCUAAUACCCUAUACGCCCUUUGGGGAAAGAUUCAUCGCCAUUGGAGGGGCCCGCGUCGGAUUAGCUAGUUGGCGGGGUAAGUGGCCCACCAAGGCAACGAUCCGUAGCUGGUCNGAGAGGAUGAUCAGCCACACUGGGACUGAGAUACGGCCCAGACUCCUACGGGA
rnacentral:rRNA from 1 species